UACGUAGGUGGCAAGCGUUGUCCGGAUUUAUUGGGUUUAAAGGGUGCGUAGGCGGUCUAUUAAGUCAGCGGUGAAAUACUCCAGCUUAACUGGAGGGGUGCCAUUGAUACUGAUGGACUUGAGUCAAGUCGAGGUAGGCGGAAUUGACGGUGUAGCGGCGAAAUGCUUAGAUAUCGUCAAGAACACCAAUAGUGAAGACAGCUUACUGGGCUUAAACUGACGCUGAGGCACGAAAGUGUGGGGAUCAAACAGG
rnacentral:rRNA from 1 species